ACAGCCGUACUUAUGAAAAUUGUCACUUCGACUUGUGGCUGAAAAGAAUACGACACCAAAACACAAAGACUUGACAAAAACACCUGAAGCCUAUACAAAAAAGACAAAUAAUUUAAAAUGUAUGCAAUUGCUGAUGUUAGAAAUUUUAUACUGUGCACCAUUAGCCUGAUUACGACAACAUUGGCACCAUAUACCCAUUCCUUGGGCACGCCUGAUGUUGUAAUACAGUUACGGGGUAUUUUGACGGACGCGGACGCUUUGUUGUCUACCCACAACCCAUUCAUCCCGACUAGACCAGCCACGCCUAGCCAGGAAAAAGAAACAUUGUUAGCAUACACGGACUAUAUAUUGGCACGCUUGAGGUUGGUGGCAGACACGAAUCCGGGGUUUAAGAAGCCAAUGGACAUUCUAGAAACCUACAGGGAAUUGGCCGAUUGGAACUUACCG